rnacentral:lncRNA from 1 species
ACAGAUUCCAAUGCCAUAUUUUUGACUGGGACAAGUAGGGGUAGAACUGGUUUUUCAGCCAGGUCUUUACUCCUUAUCAGUUGGAGCAGGCAGGAUGAGGAAGACAGCCCUAGAGUCCUCAUCUUAUCCACUGUCUUCUGACCUCACUGCAAAGCUUGCUACCACUCCACAUGUCAUCUUAUUUCUGCCAGGCCUGGGCCUUAUUUUCUACCCUUCUUUUCCACUCUCUGAGGAAAUCCCAGAAGCCAUUCAGCAGUGCAGCACAUUGGUUUCUACACAAAAAUGGAAGCUGGAAGCCAGUUGUCCUUCCUGGGAUCACAGCUACACCACUUUUCUCAGCAUAUUCUGCAGUUUCCCUUAG